AUAUGCUUGUAGAUCGCAUAUGCUUGCAGUUCGCAUAUGGCAUAUGCUUGCAGAUCGUAUAAUGGCAUAUGCGUGCAGAUCGCAUAAUGGCAUAUGCUUGCAGAUCGCAUAUACUUGCAGACAGCAUAUGCUUGCAGAACGCAUAUGCUUGCAGAUCGCAUAUGCUUGCAGAUCGCAUAUGCUUGCAGGUCGCAUAUGCUUGCAGAUCGCACAUGGCAUAUGCUUG
rnacentral:lncRNA from 1 species